rnacentral:rRNA from 1 species
GACGAACGCUGGCGGCGUGCCUAAUACAUGCAAGUCGAACGAGUGGCGGACGGGUGAAUAAUGUCUGGGAAACUGCCUGAUGGAGGGGGAUAACGACUGGAAACGGUAGCUAAUACCGCAUACCAUCAGAUGUGCCCAGAUGGGUUUAGCUAGUUGGUGGGGUAACGGCUCACCAAGGCGACGAUCCCUAGCUGGUCGGAGAGGAUGACCAGCCACACUGGGACGGAGACAAGGGCCAGACUCCUACGGGAGGCAGCAGUGGGGAAUAUUGGACAAUGGGCGCAAGCCUGAUGCAGCCAUGCCGCGUGUAUGAAGAAGGCCUUCGGGUUGUAAAGUACGUUCAGCGGGGAGGCGUUACCCGAAGAAGAAGCACCGGCUAACUCCGUGCCAGCAGCCGCGGUAAUUC